GACGGAGGGGGCAAGCGUUGUCCGGAAUUACUGGGCGUAAAGCGCACGUAGGUGGCUCGUUGCGUCGGUGCUGAAAGCGCCGGGCUUAACCCGGCGAGGUGUGCCGAUACGAGCGAGCUUGAGGCAGGGAGAGGGUGGCGGAAUUCCGGGUGUAGUGGUGAAAUGCGUAGAGAUCCGGAGGAACGCCAGUGGUGAAGACGGCCACCUGGCCCUGACCUGACACUGAGGUGCGAUAGCGUGGGGAGCGAACCGG
rnacentral:rRNA from 1 species